rnacentral:rRNA from 1 species
GAUGAACGCUGGCGGCGUGCCUAAUACAUGCAAGUCGAGCGAACAGACGAGGAGCUUGCUCCUUUGACGUUAGCGGCGGACGGGUGAGUAACACGUGGAUAACCUACCUAUAAGACUGGGAUAACUUCGGGAAACCGGAGCUAAUACCGGAUAAUAUAUUGAACCGCAUGGUUCAAUAGUGAAAGACGGUUUUGCUGUCACUUAUAGAUGGAUCCGCGCCGCAUUAGCUAGUUGGUAAGGUAACGGCUUACCAAGGCAACGAUGCGUAGCCGACCUGAGAGGGGGGGAGCCAGCAGGGGAGGGGGAACGGGGACAAGAGGACUGGGGGAGGAGGCAGAAGGAAAUGUGCGGCAGGGGGGGAGAGCAUGAAGGAGAGGGCGGGCGUGGGAGAUAAAGGUGUUGGGUGCGGAAAGAUGGUUUAUGGGGGAAAAAAAAAGGUGGAAGGAGAAGAACAGGUAGUGACGGUACCUAAUAAAAAAGCCACGGAUAACUACGUG